rnacentral:lncRNA from 1 species
AUGUGUCCGAGGGGACACCCGCACCACACCUCGCCCACAGGUCUCCAUCACCUCUCGCACUCCCCCUCCUUCCUCCCAGGCUGCUCGCUUGGGCAGGAACAUGGCCCCGGCCCUCGGGCACGGGCUGGGUUCGGUGGGAGCGGCCAGGCCGGCUCUGCUCUGGGCUGUUUCGGCCGGCGCCGGGGGCCAGAGGGACCCCGGCUUCCAACCUCGCCCCCCCGGUGUCACCCAGCCUCUCUCCAGCCCUCCCGUGAGCUCGGCUUCGCUCAGCCCGGUCCCUGCUGGUUCCCCCAGCCCCCACCGGAGGGAACAGGUGGGGACCAGAUUCCUAUCCCAGGUCGAGAAGUCCCUGGUGGAGGCAGUAACCCAGGAAACAGAACAGGGCCAUCCCCGGAGAUGUUCCUCCAUGCCAGCGACACCCGGGUCCCCAAAGCUCAGCACGCCGGGGGAUCCGGCUGGGACAGCGCCUUGGGGGACCGCCCGCUGUCCGAGAGCGGCCGAGGCAGCGCUCCCUGUGAGGGGAACAGCCCCCAUUCCCCAUCCCCAUCAGCCACCCCACGCACAGGAACACCCCCAGGGAACCCAGAGCUGCUGGGGGGCACCUUCUGCCCCCCUAUCACCGACCUGUCACCUCGGCACCCCCACACCCGGCGCCCCCCGACACCCAAUCACCCAUCGCAUCCCGGUCUCCCACCGGGGACGUCCCUCUGGGCGUUGUCACCUCCCGGCCGUUUGCCCCCGACACUUGUCAGCCCAAACCUCGGUCAAACCCCGUCCGGUAUCACCCGGUCAGCCCAAAUCUCGGUCAAACCCCGUCCGGUAUCUCCCGGUCCCGCCGCCUUACCGCGCUCCCGGUGCGAGCGGACCCGCCGGAGCCUCCGCGUCCUCCGAUCCCCGGAGCCGCUCGGCCCCGCCCGGCCCCGCCCCGGCCCGCCCCGCCCCGGUACCCUCCCUCCACCCCCGGGCUGCCCAACCAGAGCCACAACCGGCCGCCCUGGAAAGAAAAUUCCAUCAUUAGGCUUUAGAGGGAACACCGCGCAGCUACUGACGGGCGGCGGCAGCAGCCUCUGGUCCGUCCCUCGGCUCAGGUGUCACCGCAUCCCCGCUCCGUGCCCCCCAAACUGGUUUCCAGACCUCUUAAUAAAACUGCCCCCAGGCACCCCCACCCCCGCGGCUUCACUUGUUGGGCUAUAA